AGGGAAUCUUCGGCAAUGGACGGAAGUCUGACCGAGCAACGCCGCGUGAGUGAAGAAGGUUUUCGGAUCGUAAAGCUCUGUUGUAAGAGAAGAACGAGUGUGAGAGUGGAAAGUUCACACUGUGACGGUAUCUUACCAGAAAGGGACGGCUAACUACGUGCCAGCAGCCGCGGUAAUACGUAGGUCCCGAGCGUUGUCCGGAUUUAUUGGGCGUAAAGCGAGCGCAGGCGGUUAGAUAAGUCUGAAGUUAAAGGCUGUGGCUUAACCAUAGUACGCUUUGGAGACUGUUUAACUUGAGUGCAAGAGGGGAGAGUGGAAUUCCAUGUGUAGCGGUGAAAUGCGUAGAUAUAUGGAGGAACACCGGUGGCGAAAGCGGCUCUCUGGCUCGUAACUGACGCUGAGGCUCGAAAGCGUGGGGAGCAAACAGGAUUAGAUACCCUGGUAGUCCACGCCGUAAACGAUGAGUGCUAGGUGUUAGACCCUUUCCGGGGUUUAGUGCCGUAGCUAACGCAUUAAGCACUCCGCCUGGGGAGUACGACCGCAAGGUUG
rnacentral:rRNA from 1 species